rnacentral:rRNA from 1 species
AGUGAACGCUGGCGGCAGGCCUAACACAUGCAAGUCGAACGGCAGCACAGUAAGAGCUUGCUCUUAUGGGUGGCGAGUGGCGGACGGGUGAGGAAUACAUCGGAAUCUACUCUUUCGUGGGGGAUAACGUAGGGAAACUUACGCUAAUACCGCAUACGACCUACGGGUGAAAGCGGAGGACCUUCGGGCUUCGCGCGGUUGAAUGAGCCGAUGUCGGAUUAGCUAGUUGGCGGGGUAAAGGCCCACCAAGGCGACGAUCCGUAGCUGGUCUGAGAGGAUGAUCAGCCACACUGGAACUGAGACACGGUCCAGACUCCUACGGGAGGCAGCAGUGGGGAAUAUUGGACAAUGGGCGCAAGCCUGAUCCAGCCAUGCCGCGUGGGUGAAGAAGGCCUUCGGGUUGUAAAGCCCUUUUGUUGGGAAAGAAAAGCAGUCGGUUAAUACCCGAUUGUUCUGACGGUACCCAAAG